CUCUGAAGCAGGAACUAACUGCAUCGAGUGGAGGCCAACGGGAGCCAUUGAAGAAGAGCUCAUAUCCUUAGAUUCUGAAAGAGACCUUGCUGGCUCUGUUGGGAGAUUCUUAGCAUCAUCAGUGUCCCAGGUUGUCCAACUAACCAAUGAAUUGAACCUUUCUUAGCA